UUUUGCCCAGAAAGAGCUGUCCACGAAAUAACGAGGUCACGGCCGGCGUGACGGUCAGAGGCGGCCUGACAGGCACCAGGUGGCUGUGAGGACCUCACAGGCCCCCGCGAAGUCCAAAUGGGCCAUGGGGGGCCAGCGGGCCGUGCUGCAAGAACCAGCCGACUUUCUCAGGCCGUGGGAUGAAAUUCAUCAGCCGUUUGAAAUGUUCUGGAGUACAAAAAUAAACUGAGAGUGAACACCGGGAAUUUAUUAUUUAGAACGUGUGAAAAGAAAUUUCGAUCUGUAGCACUAUAUGCUGGUUUUUAAGACCACUUUUUUACCGAUUUACUGUAGUCAGGAUCUGAAUUUGUUUUUUUUUUUUUUAUGUUUGUUUAUUUUGUUGUUUAUUUAUCUAUUCUGAUCAUGUUUAUUUGCUAGUUUGUUUAUACAUUUGAGUAUUCCAUCCAUAACCCCUGGAGAUGCGGAGCUUAUCCCAGGCAGCAUCGGGAAGACAGACCCCGAACAAGACGCCAAUCCCCAUUUAAACCCAUUUAGAAACAAAUAAUAUUUAUUAUGCUUUCAGUCAUAAAAAUGACCGGGUCUGAAUAAACAAAGAAUUCCUUUCAGCCCCUGGGGAAUUCCUCAUUCAAUUAAUUCUAUAGAAAGUGUAUACAUAUGCACAUACUUUUGUGUAUAAUAUGAAUCAAUUGUUAGUGUUUGUAAGUGUUGUUCAUGGAUCAAAACAAAGCAGGGCCUAUUCUUCCCAGCAUCAAAUACAUUCUUCUUCUC